CAGUCGCCGCGGGAAUACGAAGGGGGCUAGCGUUGCUCGGAAUGACUGGGCGUAAAGGGCGCGUAGGCGGCCAUUCAAGUUAGAUGUGAAAGCCCUGGGCUCAACCUAGGAAUUGCAUUUGAUACUGUUUGGCUUGAGUUCGGGAGAGGUGAGUGGAAUUCCCAGUGUAGAGGUGAAAUUCGUAGGUAUUGGGAAGAACACCAGUGGCGAAGGCGGCUCACUGGACCGACACUGACGCUGAGGCGCGAAAGCGUGGGGAGCAAACAGGAUUAGAUACCCCUGUAGUCCCUGUCUCUUAUAA
rnacentral:rRNA from 1 species